rnacentral:rRNA from 1 species
AAGGCGCUUGAGAGAACUCGGGUAAAGGAACUAGGCAAAAUGGUGCCGUAACUUCGGGAGAAGGCACGCCGGCAUAGGGUGAAGAGACUUGCUCUCCUAGCCCGAACCGGUCGAAGAUACCAGGUGGCUGCAACUGUUUAUUAAAAACACAGCACUCUGCAAACACGAAAGUGGACGUAUAGGGUGUGACGCCUGCCCGGUGCCGGAAGGUUAAUUGAUUGGGUUAGCUUCGGCGAAGCUCAUGAUCGAAGCCCCGGUAAACGGCGGCCGUAACGAUAACGGUC